CAAAAAGGAAGAAACCCAAAGUUUUGAUUCUAAGCAACAUCACCACGAAGCCCCGCUCUCCUCUCUCUCUCUCUCUGUGUCUGUGUGUGUGUGUGUCUCUCUCCGGAACGGCCGCACAACGCCUUUUCUUUCUUCGACGGUGACGCCGUGAUGGACUGACGGUGCGCGUUUUCAAGUCUGGGUUUGGCUCGAACUCUACUAGGUGAAGCAGCUUCGAUUUCAGUUUUCGACUCAAUUUCGGAAACUUCAAGCUUGGUGGUGUGGUUGAAGGUUGAAUUAUGCAAGCUGCUGGUGGAUAAAAGAUCUGCUGAACUCAAGCCAAAUGACUUCCAUGAUAUUCCCAAAUACUUUCUUGAGGUAAUGCAACGAGGCAAUUCCACAUGUUGUAGCUAUGGUUAGAGCUGCUGACAAGAAAAGCCCAAGAGAGGCUGUUGAGUUUGUCCUACAACUGUUGAAGGUAAUUACGUUUUGGGUAGUUAUCAUACCUGCAUGAGCAGAGAUAUAUAUGGUUACCAAAAACAGAACUUUCACUUGGCCUAUAUGGUCAUACAAGCCUAUAAUUGGUCUCAGAAAAGUUCUUUCCAAACUUAAUAAGCAAGUAAAAUUUUGUGAACUUAUUCCUUGUCUUGCUUCUGUACUAUGCACGACCUUUCUUUGACAGUAAAACACUCACUUUUCUAUAUAUUAUUUAAUUUCCUCCGCCAUUAAUUUCUAAAGGUUUAGUCUGUUUCUAACUCUGUUUUUUGUUUUGUACGAACAUUACAAUGACAACAAUGGGAACUCUUAUUCUGAUGUGUUCUGGUUUUCUUCAUUAAUUCAGUCUGUUGGAGAACUUGAAUUUGGGCAACAGUUUCUAGGUAUAUAUUGAGUCAUUGAUUACCAAAUUUUCACCAUGGGGGGAGCUCGUUCUAGGAAGAGAAACCAUCGAGAUGAUGAAGAUAGUUUUCGUAGAGGGAUUUCCAGAAGGAUACACUGAAUGAGGAGGAAAAAGGGAGGGGGUUUCUCUGGUACAUUGAUCUAUAAAUCUGGAAGAAGAAGAGGUGGAGAAGAAGACCCAGCAGCAACAAUAACCACAACAACAAGGAGGUUACUAGGAACAGCAGCAGAAGAAGAUCAUCGUCCAAAUCCUCUGCUCGAGUUGGUCUGUUUGUCGAGGGAGGAAUCCAAGUUCUAAUAAUAACCAAUCUUGGUUGAAAUCUACAAGGGAUUCUAAAAGUGGGUCUUGAAGAAAAUCGAUGUCAAUGCUAUAGGAUAUCGUUACUGUUUUGUUGAACUUCAGAAGUUGGAGAAACUUCAGGAAGAGGAUCUUGUUGAAAGGCCGUUCAAGAAGAAACAGAUCAGGAUCAGGUUUCCUGAAUGGGGAAGAAGUGGGAGAUUUGCUCCAUUUGGAGGUAAGGUGUUGUUUAGCAGAGCAAAUCUCACAAUUGAAAGAGGAGAGAAACUGGCCAUUAUUGGCCCAAAUGGAUGUGGCAAGAGUACUUUGCUGAAACUAAUAAUGGGUUUACAAAAGCCAAUAGCAGGUGAAGUUCUGCUUGGGGAGCAUAAUGUCCUAACAAACUUUUUUGAGCAAAAUCAGGUGUGUACUGCCAUUACUAUUUGCUACUUUGAAAUAACUAAUAGCAUGGGGUUUCUUCUUAGUAAAAGAGGAACCGGAUCUGUAAAUUUCCUUGUCAGAAUAUA